CCAGCCUUGCUAGCUGUGUUUUCCUCAGGUCUUAGCUGAGCAUAAUCAUCCCCCAACACACUGAGUGGGACAGACAAGAGGCCCUCUUGUUACACCAGAGGAAGCUGACCACAUCAAAUCACAGACAAGCCACAUGCAGAGGUCCAUGGCACAUGAACGGGAGGCCCACCCUGCAUUAUCUGUAUUUUAAGUCAAUAUGAAGAUGGAUAUUCUACCCCUGAGAUGAAUUUUGUUAAAGUGCUUUUGUCAAUAAAAAGACACUCCUGUUAGAGUGUGCCAACUCCUGCUAUUGGCCUGGGGUCUGCUUCUCCACACACCAGGCGGCUCCAAGAGAGGCUUCCAACCUCCAGCAGCUCCUGGUCAGUCUGCAUAUUUCUUUAAGCCAUGUGAGUGAAAAAUAUCAAGGAAUGGUGAGUUGGCAUUCCAGGUGAGAGAGAAUGAAAAGAAAAGCGAACACAACUUAUAAACAAAUCUGGGAGAGCUUCAUCACCAUCCAUAGCAACUGCGUGUCUUCUGCUUCCAAGAUAGAAGAGCGGAAGUGUGGACCAUCUCUGAGCGUCUGCCCUGACUGCCUACCCAGCAGAGUCUCUAGGAAGAGUAUACCAAGAAAGGACAGCAGCCUGGACGCAGCUGGCAGGGAGCAACAAGCCCGGGAGUUUUC
rnacentral:lncRNA from 1 species